rnacentral:rRNA from 1 species
UGCAAGCCGAGGGGUAAGUCUCUUUCGGGAGAACACGACCGGCGCACGGGUGAGUAACGCGUAUGCAACCUACCUUUGGCACGGGGACAGCCCGGGGAAACCCGGAUUAAUACCCGGUAUAGUCUAUUAUACACCUGUAUAAAAGACGAGAGCUCCGGUGGUUGUAGAUGGGCAUGCGUGCCAUUAGUUUGUUGGUGAGGUAACGGCUCACCAAGACUACGAUGGCUAGGGGGUCUUAAAGGAUGGUCCCCCACACUGGUAUUGAGACACGGACCAGACUCCUACGGGAGGCAGCAGUGAGGAAUAUUGGUCAAUGGGCGAGAGCCUGAACCAGCCAUGCCGCGUGCAGGAAGACGGCCCUACGGGUUGUAAACUGCUUUUGUAUGGGAAGGAAACGUUCUACGUGUAGGACACUGACGGUACUGUACGAAUAAGCACCGGCUAACUCCGUGCCAGCAGCCGCGGUAAUACGGAGGGUGCAGGCGUUAUCCGGAUUUAUUGGGUUUAAAGGGUGCGUAGGCGGGCCUAUAAGUCAGUGGUGAAAUCUCGUGGCUCAACCAUGAAAUUGCCAUUGAUACUGUAGGUCUUGAGUAUAGUUGAGGUAGGCGGAAUGUGUCAUGUAGCGGUGAAAUGCUUAGAUAUGACCCAGAACACCAAUUGCGUAGGCAGCUUGCUAAACUAUUACUGACGCUGAUGCACGAAAGCGUGGGUAGCGAACAGGAUUAGAUACCCUGGUAGUCCACGCCGUAAACGAUGAUCACUCGCUGUGUGCGAUACAAAGUACGCGGCUGAGCGAAAGCAUUAAGUGAUCCACCUGGGGAGUACGGCCGCAAGGUUGAAACUCAAAGGAAUUGACGGGGGCCCGCACAAGCGGAGGAACAUGUGGUUUAAUUCGAUGAUACGCGAGGAACCUUACCUGGGCUUAAAUGUAGAACGACGUACCGGGAAACUGGUAUUCCCUUCGGGGCGCACUACAAGGUGCUGCAUGGUUGUCGUCAGCUCGUGCCGUGAGGUGUCGGGUUAAGUCCCAUAACGAGCGCAACCCCUAUCACUAGUUGCCAGCGAGUAAUGUCGGGGACUCUAGUGAGACUGCCGGUGUAAACCGUGAGGAAGGUGGGGAUGACGUCAAAUCAGCACGGCCCUUAUGUCCAGGGCUACACACGUGUUACAAUGGCCGAUACAAAGGGCAGCUACCAGGCGACUGGAUGCUAAUCUCCAAAACUGGUCUUAGUUCGGAUCGAAGUCUGCAACUCGACUUCGUGAAGGUGGAUUCGCUAGUAAUCGCGCAUCAGCCAUGGCGCGGUGAAUACGUUCCCGGGCCUUGUACACACCGCCCGUCAAGCCAUGGAAGCUGGGGGUACCUGAAGUCUGUCACCGCGAGGAUCGGCCUAGGGUA